CCUUCGAUAGCUCAGUUGGUAGAGCGGUGGACUGUAGUUGGAAAACAAUCAAUAGAUAUCCAUAGGUCGCUGGUUCAAAUCCGGCUCGAAGGA
rnacentral:tRNA from 1 species